rnacentral:lncRNA from 1 species
AGAUGGGCUGGCGGACAUUGGGGGGCCCGGGGCAGGCACUGACCCCCUCCUGCUCCCCAGCUGCUGGUGGAGAGCAGCGCCCAGCGCCUGGUGCACCUGGCCGCGCAGUGGGAGACGCGCCGGGGGCCCCUCAUGGAUCAGUAUCGUCACCUCCGCGCUGCCCGUCACUCCCGCCAGCUGGAGUCAACACGGCGCGUCUCGGAGAUCCAGGCCCUGAACGAGCGCGGCCGGAGCGCGGCCACCGAGGCCCGGCGCAAGGAGGAGCUGUGCCGGCAGCUGCUGACAGAGCUGGAGUCGCUCCCCAAGGAUGUGUCACGGGCGGCCUACACCCAGCGCAUCCUCGAGAUCAUCGGCAACAUCCGCAAGCAGAAGGAGGAGAUCACGAAGGUAACGGGGGGGUCCCCCGGGGCCAUGGGCGUCGAGCUCUUCUCCAUGCUGGGGGGGGGCUCCCCCUGGCAGCGGUAGCAGAUCUCUCCCCCGGCCCCCCAGAUCCUGUCGGACACGCGGGCCCUGCAGAAGGAGAUCAACAGCCUGACCGGGAAGCUGGACCGGACCUUCGCCGUCACCGACGAGCUGGUCUUCAAGGUGGGGGGCCCUGGGGGACACUCCCCUGGGGGUUACUGGGGGGAGGGGUGUGGGGAAAUGGGGGCU